rnacentral:rRNA from 1 species
UACGUAGGUGGCAAGCGUUACUCGGAAUUACUAGGCGUAAAGCGCAGGUAGGCGGUUGGGUAAGUCCGCAAUGAAAGCUCCCGGCUUAACCGGGAGAGGUUUGUGGAUACUGCUUGACUCGAGUGUGGGAGAGGUGACUGGAAUUCCCGGUGUAGCGGUGAAAUGCGUAGAGAUCGGGAGGAACACCAACGGCGAAAGCAGGUCACUGGCCCAAUACUGACGCUGAGCUGCGAAAGCUAGGGGAGCAAACAGG